UUAAAAAAUAUUAAAUUUUCUAGGCGGCAGCUUGCUGCUCGACUAGCGCCUAGUGCCUUUUAGAACACUUAUAUUACCAUCAUGCCAUUAUUUCACUUAACACAUCCAAGCAAAGGGGUCUUGGUUUAUGCUGUUUGGAGAUAACCUUGUCUUGAUGGAAGAGACAAAAGAAAGCGUUAAGUGUGGAUGGUAUUUGAUUAGACUUCACCACUUGAAGAGUCAUUCCAAAGAGAUGAUCAGUUUAAAUGUCUUGGAUCAAAUAGUCCAAAAAGAUGGGAAAAUUAUUAAGAAUGUUGCUCAUAGACUUAAGACGUGGUUAAAGAUAGACAAAUGCACGCAGCCUGUUAUUCGAUAGUAAAAUCCCAUUGAGGUUAGAAAGAAAAUUUUUAUCUGACUAUUGUAAGAGCAAUUUUGUUAUAUAGAAUGGAAUGUUGGGCAAUAAAACACCAUGUACAAAAUAUGAAUAUUAAUCAUGUGAGAAGAAGACUGAUAGAUGCUUUCGUGAGAAGAGUGGAUGGAAUGGAGGAAAAUUUUAACAAAGGCGAAAUGGAAAACCAUGAAAAGUUGGUUAGAAAUUCUUAGGCAUGAUAUGCAUUAUAUAAUAGCUCUGCAGAAGAUGUGGAGAUAGAAAUGAUUGUUGAGCUAGAAUCCUUGGAACUUGCUCCACCUAGCCGAAUUAAGGAAGGCUUGAUAUGUUGUUACUGUUGUUAUUCCAUUCUUCAUUUACAAUAUUUUUAUUUUUUGUGAUAUAAAGAGUAUUAUAAUUAAUAAUAGUAUAAAGAAGAUGUAUUCAAGUAUAGAAGCAGAUAUAGGACAGAGGAGAUUUAUAGGGUCUGUUCAGUUAUAGAAAACAUUUUCUCAUUUUUUAACUAAAAAAUUCUAUUGAAUGGUUGAAUCUCCAAUUAGAAAGUAGAAAAUUCAAUUUGCAUAUCCAAGUCUCAUAUUCAGUUGAAUCUGAUUUAGCAGCACUCAAUACUGAGGCAAAAGAAAGGAGCAAGCCAAAAGGCCGGAGAUUCUUGCGCUGGAACAAGCGUAGGCCUGUAGCGCGCCCUUCACCCAAGAAGAAAUGCUUUUCUUGGCAAAGCAAGGAAGCACAGUUGCAUUCCUCUCCAUAGCCCCUCUUACUCUAUAGGCUAUUAGUACCAAGGGCAAGCACCUGAUUUGGUAUAACUAUCAAGAAAGUAGGAAUGGCAGAGAAAGAGAUGCGCUUUCUGGACACAGGAUCCAGAGUUUUUUCAAGAAAAGGUCCUUCCCUCAAUGUCAUGAUUGGGUCGACUAGGUCUGAUCAUGAAUGAAUAGAAAAUCAAGAUGUCAAUAGCAGUUGCUGUUCCAGCCAUUUUUUUAAACUUUUCCUAGGUGUAAUUCUAUAUAUUCUUAUUUCCUUUUUAAUAGGAAGAGAUAUUUUGGAAAUGCGAGGUACCAGGGGGGGUCACAGACAAGAGGUGCUCCCACUAACGAAAAGCCUAAAGGGAAAAAAAGGAGCAAACAGAACUGCAGGCUUAGUGGUAUACUGCGGUUGAAGACUCCGUCUGCGUCUUCUUUGAGAAUUGAUGCAGGACUGUCUCACCCCAGAACCUACCCCUUCCCAGUGGGACCACGUAAUAGAACUAUUAUGCGACUAAAAUUUUGUUAUUCUAGUUGGAGACUCCUGCAGGUUCAUCAAAGCUUAUAUGAACAAAAGAAGGGCUAGCCCCUAUCUCGAAAGGGCACUCCAACACUUGGAGGAAAUCUUCUGUUCUGGAGUUACCAGUUAUGAAUUGGAAAACAUCAAAAAAAUGUUUUCCAAAUUUUCUAAAAAUGAAUGCUAUUGCUUUUUGAAACAUAAAAUGUUAAGCAUAUUUAAUUUUAAAAUUACUGUGGAAAAUUAUAAAAUGUUUUCUACAACUGAACCGGGCCAUAGCUUCUAUAAGAAGUGGAUAUCUGCAGAGGGGGAGUUCCUGAAUAUUUCAAUGUAGUCUCCUUCUGGAUUCCAAUUUUGAAUUAACUCAAUAUGGUUUACCCUCUAAUAGAGAGUGCAGGAAAAAUCCUUCAUACUUGGAACUUAUCACCUUGAUGUGGUAAUCAUUUUAUCAAUACUGUAAUGUAUU